GUAUUGUCGAGCCUGCGACUUUUGUCGCAGAAAGCUCGAAAUAGGGAUAGUGAUCCGGCGGCGGCGGCGGCUACGGCGGCGUUAGCUAACUUCUUAAAAGCUUUAUAUUUUAGAAGGUGGAAGGUCUGGAUGCUUCAUACUUUGUAUAUGGAUGCCUCAUGUUACGAAGUUUCCGUCAGUCACAUGUCCAAUGUCCUUGACCUCAUUUUCAUGGUUCAGUGACUACUUGAAAAAAAAGUUAAGAUUUUUUGUAAUGUUAGAUUCUCUCUUAUUAUAAGUAAUAGGAUAACUAUAUUUGGUAUGUGCGUACCUUGCAAGGUCCUCAUGCCCGUUAGACAGUUUUCACUUGACCUCGACCUCAUUUCAUGGAUCAGUGAACAAGGUUAAGUUUUGGUGGUCAAGUCCAUAUCUCAGAUGCUAUAAGCAAUAGGUCUAGUAUAUUCGGUGUAUGGAAGGACUGUAAGGUGUACAUGUCCAACUGGCAGGUGUCAUCUGACCUUGACCUCAUUUUCAUGGUUCAGUGGUUAUAGUUAAGUUUUUGUGUUUUGGUCUAUUUUUCUUAUACUGUAUGCCAUAGGUCUACUAUAUUUGGUGUAUGGAAUGAUUGUAAGGUGUACAUGUCUAGCGGGCAGGUGUCAUCUGACCUUGACCUCAUUUUCAUGGUUCAGUGGUCAAAGUUAAGAUUUUGAGUUUUGGUCUUUUUUUCUAAUACUAUAUGUAAUAGUUCAACUAUAUUUGGUAUGUGCGUACCUUGCAAGCUCCUCAUGCCCGUCAGACAGUUUUCACUUGACCUCGACCUCAUUUCAUGGAUCAAUGAACAAGGUUAAGUUUUGGUGGUCAAGACCAUAUCUCAGAUACUAUAAGCAAUAGGUCUAGUAUAUUCGGUGUAUGGAAGGACUGUAAGGUGUACAUGUCCAACUGGCAGGUGUCAUCUGACCUUGACCUCAUUUUCAUGGUUCAGUGGUUAUAGUUAAGUUUUUGUGUUUUGGUCUGUUUUUCUCAUACUUUAUGCAAUAGUUCAACUAUAUUUGGUGUAUGGAAAUAUUUUAUGAUCUAUUUGGCAGUCACGCAGGUUUUAUUUGACCUUGACCUCAUUUUCAAGGUUCAUUGCUCAGUGUUAAGUUUUUGUCGAGCCUUCGACUUUUGUCGCAGAAAGCUCGACAUAGGGAUAGUGAUCCGGCGGCGGCGGCGGCUACGGCGGCGUUAGCUAACUUCUUAAAAGCUUUAUAUUUUAGAAGGUGGAAGGUCUGGAUGCUUCAUACUUUGUAUAUGGAUGCCUCAUGUUACGAAGUUUCCGUCAGUCACAUGUCCAAUGUCCUUGACCUCAUUUUCAUGGUUCAGUGACUACUUGAAAAAAAAGUUAAGAUUUUUUGUAAUGUUAGAUUCUCUCUUAUUAUAAGUAAUAGGAUAACUAUAUUUGGUAUGUGCGUACCUUGCAAGGUCCUCAUGCCCGUUAGACAGUUUUCACUUGACCUCGACCUCAUUUCAUGGAUCAGUGAACAAGGUUAAGUUUUGGUGGUCAAGUCCAUAUCUCAGAUGCUAUAAGCAAUAGGUCUAGUAUAUUCGGUGUAUGGAAGGACUGUAAGGUGUACAUGUCCAACUGGCAGGUGUCAUCUGACCUUGACCUCAUUUUCAUGGUUCAGUGGUUAUAGUUAAGUUUUUGUGUUUUGGUCUAUUUUUCUUAUACUGUAUGCCAUAGGUCUACUAUAUUUGGUGUAUGGAAUGAUUGUAAGGUGUACAUGUCUAGCGGGCAGGUGUCAUCUGACCUUGACCUCAUUUUCAUGGUUCAGUGGUCAAAGUUAAGAUUUUGAGUUUUGGUCUUUUUUUCUAAUACUAUAUGUAAUAGUUCAACUAUAUUUGGUAUGUGCGUACCUUGCAAGCUCCUCAUGCCCGUCAGACAGUUUUCACUUGACCUCGACCUCAUUUCAUGGAUCAAUGAACAAGGUUAAGUUUUGGUGGUCAAGUCCAUAUCUCAGAUACUAUAAGCAAUAGGUCUAGUAUAUUCGGUGUAUGGAAGGACUGUAAGGUGUACAUGUCCAACUGGCAGGUGUCAUCUGACCUUGACCUCAUUUUCAUGGUUCAGUGGUUAUAGUUAAGUUUUUGUGUUUUGGUCUGUUUUUCUUAUACUGUAUGCCAUAGGUCUACUAUAUUUGGUGUACGGAAUGAUUGUAAGGUGUACAUGUCUAGCGGGCAGGUGUCAUCUGACCUUGACCUCAUUUUCAUGGUUCAGUGGUCAAAGUUAAGAUUUGGAGUUUUGGUCUUUUUUUCUAAUACUAUAUGUAAUAGUUCAACUAUAUUUGGUAUGUGCGUACCUUGCAAGCUCCUCAUGCCCGUCAGACAGUUUUCACUUGACCUCGACCUCAUUUCAUGGAUCAAUGAACAAGGUUAAGUUUUGGUGGUCAAGUCCAUAUCUCAGAUACUAUAAGCAAUAGGUCUAGUAUAUUCGGUGUAUGGAAGGACUGUAAGGUGUACAUGUCCAACUGGCAGGUGUCAUCUGACCUUGACCUCAUUUUCAUGGUUCAGUGGUUAUAGUUAAGUUUUUGUGUUUUGGUCUGUUUUUUUUAUACUGUAUGCCAUAGGUCUACUAUAUUUGGUGUAUGGAAUGAUUGUAAGGUAUACAUGUCUAGCGGGCAGGUGUCAUCUGACCUUGACCUCAUUUUCAUGGUUCAGUGGUCAAAGUUAAGUUUUUUGAGUUUUGGUCUUUUUUUCUAAUACUAUAUGCAAUAAUUCAACUAUAUUUGGUGUAUGGAAAUAUUUUAUGAUCUAUUUGGCAGUCAAGCAGGUUUUAUUCGACCUUGACC